GACCAUGAGGGGCCUGUUUUGCAAAUAACCCUGCAUGUAAGUGUCCUGACAACAUCGGAGCCAACUCAGCAGCAUCAUAUGGUCUCCUGGUGACUCAGACUGGACCAAUGCCCUGACCUCUUAUCCCAGCUAUAGCAACUUAUGUAAAGCUUGGAAAACUUCUCUCUGUGGGAGCAGUCCGCAUGGGCUCCGAUCAAUAGCAGGACUUGCAGCAGAGCACGAGCAAGGAUAUCUACUGGAAAGGUGAGCUGUGGUCACAAAGCUACUGUAUGAAGAUUUCUCAGGAUUAAGACUCAGUUUUAAUUUAGAGUAAUUUUUAUUACCCCCCAGCU
rnacentral:lncRNA from 1 species